CACACUGACUGGAGCUGGGUGCAUGAACCAGGCUGACCGCGGAGAUGCGACCGGUUCUUGCUGUAAUGGUGGUGUGUGUGUGUGUGUGUGUGUGUGUGGUGAGGUUGGGGGGCAUGAAAUGAAAAGUGAAGUUUCUGCGUCUCCCUCAAAACUUGCCGGCGUGCGUCGUUUUUUCGUCGCGCUCGCCGUAACGACAACGUCUCCACUGGACGCAAGUUGUUUAUCCUCGAAUGACCCCAAUGCUGAAGCGAGAACAUCCCGUUCCUGAGAUAUUAAUAGCUCCCCUUGCGUCACCGAACUGUGGCGGACCGCUCUGCGAGACACGCAACGGAGCCACAAACUGUGCCAGCAACACAUUUUCCUCCAAAGCAAACACGGUUAUAAAACAGAGUGAGUGCAUAGCUCCGCCACACCUGCAUCCACAAGUACAAGAGUUGAGGUGUCCAACCCUGGAUGAUGCAUGUUGUCAGACGCCAAACAAAACAUCCUGUGGAAUCACUAAGAUUAUGUCCAUGUGUGAAGUCGUAGCGUUGCAAAAUCUCUGUAAAGGAAAAAAAAAAAGAAAGUUGAAAUAAACACUUGCAGCUCAGGA